rnacentral:pre_miRNA from 1 species
UAUAUACUCCUUCCGUUCCGAAUUACUCGUCGCAGAAAUGGAUGUAUCUAGAUGUAUUUUAGUUUUAGAUACAUCCAUUUCCGCGACGAGUAAUUUGGAACAGAGGGAGUACAUC